CCUACGGGAGACUGCAGUGAGGAAUAUUGGUCAAUGGGCGAGAGCCUGAACCAGCCAAGUCGCGUGAAGGAUGACGGCUCUAUGAGUUGUAAACUGCUUUUGUACAAGGGUAAACCUGAAUACGUGUAUUCAGCUGCAAGUACUGUACGAAUAAGGAUCGGCUAACUCCGUGCCAUCAGCCGCGGUAAUACGUAGGGGGCAAGCGUUAUCCGGAAUUACUGGGUGUAAAGGGAGCGUAGACGGUGAUGUAAGUCUGGAGUGAAAGGCGGGGGCCCAACCCCCGGACUGCUCUGGAAACUAUGUGACUGGAGUGCAGGAGAGGUGAGCGGAAUUCCUAGUGUAGCGGUGAAAUGCGUAGAUAUUAGGAGGAACACCAGUGGCGAAGGCGGAUUGCUAGACUGUAACUGACACUGAGGCACGAAAGCGUGGGGAGCAAACAGGAUUAGAUACCCCAGUAGUC
rnacentral:rRNA from 1 species